GAUGAACGCUGGCGGCGUGCCUAAUACAUGCAAGUCGAGCGAACAGACGAGGAGCUUGCUCCUUUGACGUUAGCGGCGGACGGGUGAGUAACACGUGGGUAACCUACCUAUAAGACUGGGAUAACUUCGGGAAACCGGAGCUAAUACCGGAUAAUAUUUCGAACCGCAUGGUUCGAUAGUGAAAGAUGGCUUUGCUAUCACUUAUAGAUGGACCUGCGCCGUAUUAGCUAGUUGGUAAGGUAACGGCUUACCAAGGCAACGAUACGUAGCCGACCUGAGAGGGUGAUCGGCCACACUGGAACUGAGACACGGUCCAGACUCCUACGGGAGGCAGCAGUAGGGAAUCUUCCGCAAUGGGCGAAAGCCUGACGGAGCAACGCCGCGUGAGUGAUGAAGGUCUUCGGAUCGUAAAACUCUGUUAUUAGGGAAGAACAAACGUGUAAGUAACUGUGCACGUCUUGACGGUACCUAAUCAGGAAGCCACGGCUAACUACGUG
rnacentral:rRNA from 1 species